UACGGAGGGUGCGAGCGUUAAUCGGAAUUACUGGGCGUAAAGCGCACGUAGGCGGCUUGAUAAGUCGGAUGUGAAAUCCCCGGGCUUAACCUGGGAAUUGCAUUCGAUACUGUCUGGCUGGAGUAUGGUAGAGGGUAGUGGAAUUCCGGGUGUAGCGGUGAAAUGCGUAGAUAUCCGGAGGAACACCAGUGGCGAAGGCGGCUACCUGGACCAAUACUGACGCUGAGGUGCGAAAGCGUGGGGAGCAAACAGG
rnacentral:misc_RNA from 1 species